ensembl:snRNA U6 U6 spliceosomal RNA
GUGCUUGCUUUGGCAGCAUAUAUACUAACAUUGGAGCGUUACAGAGAAAAUUAGCAUGGCCCCUCUGUGCAAGGGUGACUAGCAAAUUCAUGAAGUAUUUCUUAUUUAA